rnacentral:rRNA from 1 species
AGCGAACGCUGGCGGCAGGCCUAACACAUGCAAGUCGAACGAACCUUUCGGGGUUAGUGGCGGACGGGUGAGUAACACGUGGGAACGUGCCUUUAGGUUCGGAAUAACUCAGGGAAACUUGUGCUAAUACCGAAUGUGCCCUUCGGGGGUAAGAUUUAUCGCCUUUAGAGCGGCCCGCGUCUGAUUAGCUAGUUGGUUGAGGUAAUGGCUCACCAAGGCGACGAUCAGUAGCUGGUCUGAGAGGAUGAUCAGCCACAUUGGGACUGAGACACGGCCCAAACUCCUACGGGAGGCAGCAGUGGGGAAUCUUGCGCAAUGGGCGAAAGCCUGACGCAGCCAUGCCGCGUGAAUGAUGAAGGUCUUAGGAUUGUAAAAUUCUUUCACCGGGGACGAUAAUGACGGUACCCGGAGAAGAAGACCCGGCUAACUUCGUG